GAACAAGAGUAGAUCAUGUUAUUGGUUCAAAUAAAUAAAGCGAACGACACCCUUGGAGAGUUGUACAUAAAAUAAAAUAUUUAGGAGGAUAUUACAUCACGUUUGCAGCGGGUACCAAAGUUGCAGUGUGUUGCCUUAACGUUCUUAUUAUUGAUGCAAUUACCAACUAUUUGUUCAUUACAUAUCUCUGGUUUCCCUGUGGCCUUGUAAUUUAAUCUUCCUGAUCUAGCAUUACCACCUGCAGCAAGAAGAAUCCUACUACUUGUUUCUGAUUCCAUCAACAAUUCAUCGUCGUCCCGAAGACAAGCAUCUAUGCUGCUGCUUGUCCCGUUACAUUCUGAUACCGAUUCCACCUUUAUCACGGUUACAAGUAACACAAGGAGCAUCAUCAUCAUCGUCAUCCUCAUUGAUUUUAAUCCUUUCUUCUCACUUUGAUGUUGUUUAAAAUAGAUGAUACAUUUUUAAUGGUAGCUGGGAUAAGAAAUGAACGG
rnacentral:misc_RNA from 1 species